GUAUAACCUGGAUUGGGAGGUGGAGUUUAUAUUCUGUCUUCUGAGAUCAUCAACCUCACUUUUCCUAGGACAGAAAAACCCAGGACUACUCUGCUCCUCAAAGUCCUUCUUUUAACCUCCUAUAUCCACUUCACUUUUAAGAGGACAUUCAAAAACUCUGAUUCAGCUCCAAUCUGAAUUAGUGGAAAAACAGAAAUGGGCAAGUCCCCAUUAACCUGAUAAGGGAUAGGAAAAGACUAUUUCUUACUAAUAGAAGCCCCCGGAAGUUUUUAUUAUUCCUGUGAAAUCCAGGAUAGGACUUGGCGGCUGAUAAUGUAGGAAAUGCAAUACAUUUUAUAUCAUUUUGUAAUGGCACAGCCUUACAAUUUUCACGCACCUCUAAGAAUAUCUAGGACUAAAAUCCCACUAUAAGCUAUUUGGAUAGCCAAGUGAGGAAGAAUAUUCUUUGUUCACCGCUACAUUGACUUCACUUCUCUGUGAUUGGGAAGCCUGAAAGUGAUACAGACGUGACUAUUCAACCUUUCCCUGAAGAUUUCAGGUUGGUAACCUAGAGGGCAGGGGCAUCCAGAGCAUUGUAUAACUUUACUUGAUCUCUGAUGCCUGCUGUGAACUACAACCCACUAGCGGUUUAUGGAAUCAAUUUAAUGGGUUGCAAUCAGUAUUUGAAAAAAAAUUAAUAGAAUAAAAUAAAAUAAAAGUACUUGGUUGUAUCACAUGUAGUAAGGAAGGAGUGUUCUAUAAAACUUUUAUUUAUGUUAGAUAUAGAUGUGUUUACCAGAAAAUUACUAAAAUGUAGAUACUCCAAAAAUGCUUGAAAAUGGCUGCUGUAUAAAACAACAUAUAGAAAAAAAUUGUAAAUCAAUAAGGACACUCUCAUAUAAUGUGAUUCUUUAAUAACAUGAACUCACAAAUCAGGAGAGAUUUGAAAUGCUUUUGAAGUGAAAGCAUUAAACAUGAAGUCUCCUAGAAAACCUUGGAUCACAGUUUUUAUAUACUUUCCCCAUAAAAUUUCCAUACUCACAAAUCAAAAAUGCUUUAUACAUGAUUUAGUGGAUUCAUAGACAUGGAAAAUUCAAUCUAGAAUUGUUUAGAAAUCUUACUUUAAAUAUUUUUAAGCUCCCAAAUUUUCCUUAGAAAAUAAUAAAAUCUCCUUGUCCUUAUGAGGAAGCAAAACUCUAGAUCUAAAUAUUCUGAAUGUGCUUAUGUAAGUAAAUACAAAUUUUUAUUCUAAUCUAACACUGACUCAAUGGACAUGAGUUUGGGUAAACUCAUGGAGUUGGUGAUGGACAGGGAGGCCUGGCAUGCUGCGGUUCAUGGGGUC
rnacentral:lncRNA from 1 species